rnacentral:rRNA from 1 species
CCUACGGGAGGCUGCAGUGGGGAAUAUUGCGCAAUGGGCGAAAGCCUGACACAGCGACGCCGCGUGAGGGAUGAAGGUCUUCGGAUCGUAAACCUCUGUCAGCAGGGAAGAGAGGUAACUGUGCUAACAAGCAGUGCAUUGACGGUAACUGCAAAGGAAGCACCGGAUAACUCCGUGCGAGCAGCCGCGUGAAUACGUAGGGUGCGAGCGUUAAUCGGAUUUACUGGGCGUAAAGCGCUGGUAGGCGGUAGGUCAAGUCAAGGGUGAAAUCCCCGCGCUCAACGUGGGAACUGCCUUUGAAACGGGCAAACUGGAGUGUGUGAGGGGAUAGUGGAAUUCCAGGUGUAGGAGUGAAAUACGUAGAUAUCUGGAGGAACAUCAGUGGCGAAGGCGACUAUCUGGCACAUAACUGACGCUGAGGAGCGAAAGCGUGGGUAGCAAACAGGAUUAGAUACCCGUGUAGUC